CCCUUGUCCUUAGUUACCAGCACGUUAUGGUGGGCACUCUAAGGAGACUGCCGGUGACAAACCGGAGGAAGGUGGGGAUGACGUCAAGUCAUCAUGGCCCUUACGGCCUGGGCUACACACGUGCUACAAUGGUCGGUACAGAGGGUUGCCAAGCCGCGAGGUGGAGCUAAUCCCAUAAAACCGAUCGUAGUCCGGAUCGCAGUCUGCAACUCGACUGCGUGAAGUCGGAAUCGCUAGUAAUCGCGAAUCAGAAUGUCGCGGUGAAUACGUU
rnacentral:rRNA from 1 species